CGCUCUUGUUGCAAAUUGUUUUGGUCAAUGUUUUAUAUCAAAACCUAGACGAUAAAGCGUUUAUAGCGCUUGAUUUUAAAAAAAUAUCGUCGCACGCUCCCGAUCAUAGGGAAAUCAAUACAAAAAUAUUGUCCGACCGAUUUUGAAGAAAAUCAGACUCUCUAAACGUGUUAUCUUCUCGGUUAUGAAAUAAUACAUUGACCAGAAUGAUUCUCAACAAGAGCAAAAAAGAGUUUUCCAACGAAAACGUAAAGCAGAGAAAAUAUAGCAAUUUUUAGUUUUAUUGCAGUCAAAUUAGAUUACUCAAAUUUGUAUACGAUUUGUAUACGCGACAUAGGGAAAAAUUUCAAACAUGGAUAUUUUCCGUUCUAGGUCGAAAUUUAAAAAUGCCCACGGCAAAGUUUUAGAUUUUAAUGUGCUGCAUCAUAAUCUUUUGGUUUUAAAUUAAAAAAGUUAAAAUUGAAUCUCACGGAAGCCCGAGAAGACGGCAAUAUUUUCUAGCUCGCCUUG